rnacentral:rRNA from 1 species
UAAGCGGAGGAAAAGAAACUAACAAGGAUUCCCCUAGUAACGGCGAGUGAAGCGGGAAGAGCUCAAAUUUGUAAUCUGGUACUUUCAGUGCCCGAGUUGUAAUCUCGAGAAGUGUUUUCCGCGCCGGACCGCAUACAAGUCUGUUGGAAUACAGCGUCAUAGUGGUGAGAACCCCGUAACUGAUGCGGACGCCCGGUGCUUUGUGAUACACUUUCGAAGAGUCGAGUUGUUUGGGAAUGCAGCUCAAAUUGGGUGGUAAAUUCCAUCUAAAGCUAAAUAUUGGCGAGAGACCGAUAGCGAACAAGUACCGUGAGGGAAAGAUGAAAAGCACUUUGGAAAGAGAGUUAACAGUACGUGAAAUUGUUGGAAGGGAAACGCUUGAAGUCAGACUUGCUAUUUGGAGUUCAGCCGCAAGGUGUAUUCUUCAAUUUGCAGGCCAGCAUCAGUUUUUGGGGGUGGAAAAGGGUAUUGAGAAGGUAGCAGUUUCGGCUGUGUUAUAGCUCUUUACUGGAUUCAUCCUUGGGGACUGAGGAACGCAGCGCGCUUUUUGCAAGGCUCUCGGGCUUUUCGCGCUUAGGAUGCUGGUAGAAUGGCUUUAAACGACCCGUCUUGAAACACG